rfam:Triticum aestivum genome assembly, contig: Triticum_aestivum_CS42_TGACv1_scaffold_376345_5AL
UUUGUAUUCCUUCCAUCCAGAAUUACUUGUCGCGAAAAUGGAUAAAAGCGGAUGUAUCUAGAACUAAAAUACUUCUAGAUACAUCCAUUUCUUUGACAAGUAUUUCCAGACGGAGGGAGUAUGUU